UAAUCGCAACGCUACUCUGUUUACCAGGUCAGGUCCGGAAGGAAGCAGCCAGAGCAGACGACGUGUGUGCCGGGAUGUA
rnacentral:SRP_RNA from 1 species